GACGAACGCUGGCGGCGUGCUUAACACAUGCAAGUCGAACGGAAAGGCCCUGCUUUUGUGGGGUGCUCGAGUGGCGAACGGGUGAGUAACACGUGAGUAACCUGCCCUUGACUUUGGGAUAACUUCAGGAAACUGGGGCUAAUACCGGAUAGGAGCUCCUGCUGCAUGGUGGGGGUUGGAAAGUUUCGGCGGUUGGGGAUGGACUCGCGGCUUAUCAGCUUGUUGGUGGGGUAGUGGCUUACCAAGGCUUUGACGGGUAGCCGGCCUGAGAGGGUGACCGGCCAGAUUGGGACUGAGAUACGGCCCAGACUCCUACGGGAGGCAGCAGUGGGGAAUAUUGCACAAUGGGCGGAAGCCUGAUGCAGCAACGCCGCGUGCGGGAUGACGGCCUUCGGGUUGUAAACCGCUUUCGCCUGUGACGAGGCGUGAGUGACGGUAAUGGGUAAAGAAGCACCGGCUAACUACGUG
rnacentral:rRNA from 1 species